UACGGAGAGUGCAAGCAUUAAUCGGCAUUAUUUGGCGUAAAGGGCGCGUAGGCGGAAAGACAAGUCAGAUGUGACAUUCCGAAGCUCAACUUCGGAGCUGCAUUUGAAACUAUCAUUCUAGAGGAUUGACGGAGAAAACGGAAUUCCACGUGUAGCGGUGAAAUGCGUAGAUAUGUGGAAGAACACCUGUGGCGAAAGCGGUUUUCUAGUUUAUACCUGACGCUGAGGCGCGAGAGCAAGGGGAGCAAACAGG
rnacentral:rRNA from 1 species